rnacentral:rRNA from 1 species
UACAGAGGGUGCAAGCGUUGUUCGGAUUCAUUGGGCGUAAAGGGUGCGUAGGCGGUUAUAUCAGUCAGAUGUGAAAGGCUUGGGCUUAACCUGAGAACUGCGUUUGAUACUGUAUAGCUAGAGUAUUGUAGAGGAAAGUGGAAUUUCCGGUGUAGCGGUGAAAUGCGUAGAUAUCGGAAGGAACAUCAGUGGCGAAGGCGACUUUCUGGACAAAUACUGACACUGAGGCACGAAAGCAUGGGGAGCAAACAGG